rnacentral:rRNA from 1 species
CCUACGGGUGGCAGCAGUGAGGAAUAUUGGUCAAUGGCCGGAAGCCUGAACCAGCCAAGCCGCGUGAAGGACGAAGGUGCCAAGCAUUGUAAACUUCUUUUGUCAAGGGACAAAAUCAGGCUCGAGCGCCUGACCGAGCGUACUUUAAGAACAAGCAUCGGCUAACUCCGUGCCAGCAGCCGCGGUAAUACGGGGGAUGCGCGGGUUAUCCGGAUUUAUUGGGUUAAAAGGGAGCGUAGGCGGACUGUUAAGUCAGCGGUAAAAGCCCGGGGCUCAACCCCGGCGAGCCGUUGAAACUGGCGGUCUUGAGAUGUCGAGAGGUAUGCGGAAUGCGCAGUGUAGCGGUGAAAUGCUUAGAUAUUGCGCAGAACUCCGAUUGCGAAGGCAGCAUACCGGAGGCGAUCUGACGCUGAGGCACGAAAGCGUGGGUAUCGAACAGGAUUAGAUACCCCUGUAGUC